AAACCAACAGGGAUUGCCUUAGUAGCGGCGAGUGAAGCGGCAAAAGCUCAAAUUUGAAAUCUGGCACUUUCAGUGUCCGAGUUGUAAUUUGAAGAAGGUAUCUUUGGGUCUGGCUCUUGUCUAUGUUUCUUGGAACAGAACGUCACAGAGGGUGAGAAUCCCGUGCGAUGAGAUGUCCCAGACCUAUGUAAAGUUCCUUCGAAGAGUCGAGUUGUUUGGGAAUGCAGCUCUAAGUGGGUGGUAAAUUCCAUCUAAAGCUAAAUAUUGGCGAGAGACCGAUAGCGAACAAGUACAGUGAUGGAAAGAUGAAAAGAACUUUGAAAAGAGAGUGAAAAAGUACGUGAAAUUGUUGAAAGGGAAGGGCUUGAGAUCAGACUUGGUAUUUUGUAUGUUACUCUCUCGGGGGUGGCCUCUACAGUUUACCGGGCCAGCAUCAGUUUGAGCGGUAGGAUAAGUGCAAAGAAAUGUGGCACUGCUUCGGUAGUGUGUUAUAGUCUUUGUCGAUACUGCCAGCUUAGACUGAGGACUGCGGCUUCGGCCUAGGAUGUGGCAAAUGAUCUUAAGUCGC
rnacentral:rRNA from 1 species